rnacentral:lncRNA from 1 species
UAAACGGUCAUGAAAUAUACAAAUAAAAAAACCGAAGCCGAUUUCAUUUCAAGACUGGGGCAUUUUAUUUCUUCACUUCAGAAUCUCUCUCCCAAAUACCCAAAUUCGACCUUCCAUCACUCUUUUCAUUUCUCUCCAGAAUCGACAUUCAUGCAAAAUAUAAUCUUAGCCAAGAUUGAUUGUUGCCUACUUCGUAACCAUCACAACUUUGGGAUUGUUGUGCCGUCUCAGCAGCCACUGAGUUGAAUCCCAUCGUUGAUGCACUAAUGCAUACUCAGUUCACUGCCUAGGUCAGCCCCAUUUGCCAUUUUGAUUUAUUUAUAAUCAAAUUGACACAUUAUCAGCUCCUUCAUUGAAAGCCCUCUACUUUCCACAUACAUUAUUGGAGAGGAAUUUGAAGAAUUUUAUUUAUGAGCAGGUUUAUUGGAGAGGAAUUCUCUCCACAUACAUUAUUGGAGAGGAAUUCUCUCUCUCUCUCUCUCUCUCUCUCUCUGUAAUUUUCAUUUUAUUACUUAUAAAUCUCAUUAAUUUGAUUGGGCAGGUUUCAUGGUUUUGUAACCUAGCAUUGGAUGACUCUAAACAUGGCUACUUCUCUCAGAGAUUAUUGGUGUGCUUGAGAUCGGUAUUGAGUUCAAUCAUCUACCAGGUUUAUUUCAGUUCCUAUAUUUUGUUUUAAAAUAUUUCAUUGCUAUGUAAUUUUAUGGUGUGGGUUUUAUGAAAUUGAUGUUUAAUUCAGCAAACUCUAUUUCCUUUUGAGUAUUUAGUCCCAUGACUGGCACGUUGUAAGUAGAGAACCUUGAAAGGGCCAUAACAUUUAUCUUUUUUGUUGUUUUUUUAACUUUGUUUUGAUAUAAUAAAAGUAUUCCUUCCUCUCAAACUCAAUUGAGCGGGUUUAAUUGUUCUUUUCUUAUAGUGAAGUUUUGAGAAGCUUUGAUUGCCACUGAUUUAUGAAGAAAACAACAACUCUAAAAUUGUUCUGCUGUUGUCAUGUUGCUAUAUGCUGUUAAAAACAGCACAUGGAACUUCCAAGUACUGAUUUUAGUAACUGGACAGCAUCCGUAAAAGUUUUUGGGUGCCGUCAUGCAGCUGUUUGUUAAAAACAGCACCUGGGAGUUCCAGAUGCUGUUUUUAUUAGCUAGACAGCAACAAAAACAUUUUUAGGUCCUGUCAUACUGUUGUUUGAGGUUAAAAACAGCACUCAAAAGUUGCAGUUGCUGUUUUUAACACAAUUUCAGCAGCUAGGCAGCACCCAGAAAAUAUUGUCAUGCUGUUGUUUGCUGCUAAAAACAGCACCUAAAAGUUUCAACUGCUGUUUUUAUCAGCUAGACAGCACCUAAAAAUUUUUUGGGUGCUGUCAUACUUCUGUUUUAACACAAUUUCAGUAGCUAGACAACACCCAAACUACUUUAGGGUGCUGUCAUGCUGCUGUUUGAUGUUAAAAAUAGCACUUGAAAGUUGCAGGUGCUGUUUUUACUAAUACUUCAACAGUUAGGCAGCACCCAAAAAAUAAUCUGGGUGCUGUCCUGCUGCUGUUUACUGUUAAAAAUAGCACCUGAAAGUUUCAGGUGCUGUUUUUAUCAGCUAGAGAGCACCUAAAAUAAACUUGGGUGUUGUCAUGCUGCCAUGAUAUAAGAUAUUUGGAAUUUUACAAUUGUAAAUAUUUUGCAUGCUGAUGUGUUAUUGAUAACAAGGCUUAUCUAUUUUGUUUUUUCUUGAUAACUUUGCUUUUUCCCAUUUGGGGUUCCUUUGAUAAUUUUCCAUGGUUGUUGAAUCAUCUAUUUACUAUGUUCGUAUUUAAAAAUUCAAUUUACUGUAUUUUUCAUUGAGCUAGAACAACAAUGGAUAAUUCCAAGGGUUGUUUUCUGUCAAUUUGCUGUCAAAAUAGCUGCUAAAAGUUCACAACAGCUGUUUUGCUGCUUUUCUACAGUGAAACAGCCCUUAGUAAUUUGCAGGGGCUGUUUUCACUACAAAACAGCAGCAAAACAGCCCCUACAGAUUUCUAUAAGCUGUUUUCACUGCAGAACAGCUGCAAAACAGCCGCUGGAAAUGUGCAGGUGUUGAUUAGUUGCUGUUCUACAGUUAAAAGGCUCGUAGAAAUUUUUUUAGUCUAUUUUGAAUUGAAAAUAUUUUUGAAGAUUGUUGAGGAAGGAGGGGAAUGAGAGCAGUAGUUUUUUUGAAGGCUUGAUGAUGAGUUUGAUAAAUUUGACAAGUUUUACGGGACUAAAGUGAAAGAAAAUUAUGCUUAGGUUGAAAGUUUGAGUGCAAAUGGAUGCUUUGAUUGCUUUCAAGAUAAAAACUGAGAAAUUGGAAGGAGUUAUUUAGGAUUCUAUACAAUUUGAUCCUAAAGAACAAAAGCAUGAAAGCAAGGUGAUUUUUAAACUUGCUGUUGAUUAUUGCUUUCCUUGUUUAUUAGUUCUAUCAGUAAUAUGACUUUGUUAAUGCAGAUUAUGUAGAAGACAACAAGGCAACUGCAUAUUUUGACGCCAAUUGUCUCAUCUUCUUUGCGGAUAAGUUAAAUGAUUUGACAAAAUACAAGCUGUAUCAGGUGACUUUUGCAGUUUGUGCUUUAAUUGUCUAUAUGGCAUUACAACUAUACUACUCAACAUUCACAUCUACAAUGGUCAUAUAUUUAUGUAUCUACAAUCCAUUCUCAUGUUUCUUGCUUUAGAAUAUGAGUUCUGAAAAUAUUUUUAGAUAUACACUCAUAUUAGUGUACCUAUAAUCUUCUAACUGUUUAGCUUGUAGUGUAUACGUGUUAAUGCUCUUGGACUACUAAAUUGGGAUACUAUAUUAAAUUAAUAUAGUACAAGCAUAUGAAUGUUUGCAAACGUAAUAAAUUAACUCUUUCAAAAUUUUAGUUUAGCAUAUGGUGGUGAUUUUUAGGAUCUUUCUAAUCAUAUAUUCUUUCAAAAUUCUGUAAGUCAAGAAUUUACAAUUAAGUUUGGUGACAUUCAUUGACUUGAUGGGCCAUAUGAAGAGGUUAAAUUCCUAGACCUUUAAAUUUAGGUCCAUCCCUUUAAUUUAUUUACACUUUUUGACACUUUAUAUUAAUUUGAUAGCAAUAAUUCAUUUAGUGCUUGUUGAAAGAAACCAUGGGAAGACUAAAUGCUUAUUUUAUGAUUUUUAUAGUUAAUUUAUUAAAAUGUCAAGAAAUGAGAAGUUCAAGCAUUUAAAUUUAAUUUACUUGACAUAUGAUCAGCUUGUUUGAACUCUCUUCAUCGCUUAAAUUAAAAUUACGUUGAGGCUAAUUACUUGAACUAUUAUUUUUGUUUUAUAUGGUGCCUAGAAUUGGUUUUGCUACUGUAUUACAAAGAAAACAACACUCAAAACAUGUUUCUUUUUAUUUUCUUUUUUAUUUCGUUACUUCUUUGCUCUUUAUCUUCUUGCUAAUUGUUUUUCUGGUUUGUUUUUGUGUUUUUUCCUUUGGUUAUAACCAGAUAUAAUUUUUCAAGGCAGCAAGCAAGCAUGUUAUUGAGUUAAAGAUAUCUUGAAGAGAUAAAAGGAAUGAUCAAAUCUUUUUGUAUAACUAACUUUUGAUAUGAAACAUUUGUAGAACGUACAAUUGUAAAAGAAUUAUGGAUACUAUAAUUGAAAUUUGGGCUUGAAAUGAUCAUUGUAAAUUUUUUUUUUUAAAUUAACAUGCUAAAGAUGACGGUUAUUAUGUAAGAACCGUCAUUAAAAUCACAUUUAAUGACAAUUUUUUGGAA